rnacentral:rRNA from 1 species
AAGUCGAACGGGAAAUAUUUCAUUGAGACUUCGGUGGAUCUGAUCUAUUUCUAGUGGCGGACGGGUGAGUAACGCGUGGGUAACCUGCCUUAUACAGGGGGAUAACAGUCAGAAAUGGCUGCUAAUACCGCAUAAGCGCACAGGACCGCAUGGUGUAGUGUGAAAAACUCCGGUGGUAUGAGAUGGACCCGCGUCUGAUUAGCUAGUUGGUGGGGUAACGGCUCACCAAGGCGACGAUCAGUAGCCGACCUGAGAGGGUGACCGGCCACAUUGGGACUGAGACACGGCCCAAACUCCUACGGGAGGCAGCAGUGGGGAAUAUUGCACAAUGGGCGAAAGCCUGAUGCAGCGACGCCGCGUGAAGGAUGAAGUAUUUCGGUAUGUAAACUUCUAUCAGCAGGGAAGAAAAUGACGGUACCUGACUAAGAAGCCCCGGCUAACUACGUGCCAGCAGCCGCGGUAAUACGUAGGGGGCAAGCGUUAUCCGGAUUUACUGGGUGUAAAGGGAGCGUAGAUGGCAUGGCAAGUCUGAAGUGAAAGCCCGGGGCUCAACCCCGGGACUGCUUUGGAAACUGUCAGGCUAGAGUGCUGGAGAGGUAAGUGGAAUUCCUAGUGUAGCGGUGAAAUGCGUAGAUAUUAGGAGGAACACCAGUGGCGAAGGCGACUUUCUGGACAGCAACUGACGUUGAGGCACGAAAGUGUGGGGAGCAA